rnacentral:misc_RNA from 1 species
AAAAUUUCAAUAGCCUCUCAUGAGCUGGCCGUAAAAUUGCGACCAGAAAUGAAUGUUGGCACCACAUUUUGUGCACUGUAACGUCUUUGGUGGUUGGGCGGUUUGUCUGUUUGUGACAAUUCCGUCUGUCAGCUUGGAUCUAUUAUUAUCCUCGCCGUGGACACGCCACCGUUUGUCUUUCAACCUAUGUUUUCAUGAAUUGUCUGACAAAUAUUUGUAUUGAAAAUAUACAAA